AUUGAACGCUGGCGGCAGGCCUAACACAUGCAAGUCGAACGGUAACAGGAAGAAGCUUGCUUCUUUGCUGACGAGUGGCGGACGGGUGAGUAAUGUCUGGGAAACUGCCUGAUGGAGGGGGAUAACUACUGGAAACGGUAGCUAAUACCGCAUAACGUCGCAAGACCAAAGAGGGGGACCUUCGGGCCUCUUGCCAUCGGAUGUGCCCAGAUGGGAUUAGCUAGUAGGUGGGGUAACGGCUCACCUAGGCGACGAUCCCUAGCUGGUCUGAGAGGAUGACCAGCCACACUGGAACUGAGACACGGUCCAGACUCCUACGGGAGGCAGCAGUGGAGAAUAUUGCACAAUGGGCGCAAGCCUGAUGCAGCCAUGCCGCGUGUAUGAAGAAGGCCUUCGGGUUGUAAAGUACUUUCAGCGGGGAGGAAGGGAGUAAAGUUAAUACCUUUGCUCAUUGACGUUACCCGCAGAAGAAGCACCGGCUAACUCCGUG
rnacentral:rRNA from 1 species